GUGUAAGGGGGCAGGCUCGAUGCUUACAUUCACGUCCACGAGCUCAACUUUUCCCCUCCUAGGCCUCCCCAGGGGCAGGGUUUUAUCAUUCCAUCUUUUCUGAUUUAAGAAGCAAGCCAGCACCUGAGGGACGUGGAGAAGGUCUGCUGUGCAGCAUCACAUGGGGCUUUUCCAACCCCCCAGCCCCCCAACGUGUGUGACCACUUGUCUUUUGUUGGUUUUCCAACCCCUGGAAAGUGUCUCCUUACCACGGUCUUCUGGAGCCCACACUGGUUUCCACUUGCCUGAGGAUGACGCGAAGACUGAGUGGCCCCACGGCCCACCACAGGUCACACGUGUGAAAUGAGGGUCUGCUUUGCCUUUAUUUGCCAGUGGGGUCCCCACUCACUGGUCCUGUCUCCUUAAGGGAGUGGACCCUCCUCUCCCUUUUCCUGCCUUUCU